rnacentral:rRNA from 1 species
AUACGUAGGGUGCAAGCGUUAAUCGGAAUUACUGGGCGUAAAGCGUGCGCAGGCGGUUUUGUAAGACAGUGGCGAAAUCCCCGGGCUCAACCUGGGAACUGCCAUUGUGACUGCAAGGCUGGAGUGCGGCAGAGGGGGAUGGAAUUCCGCGUGUAGCAGUGAAAUGCGUAGAUAUGCGGAGGAACACCGAUGGCGAAGGCAAUCCCCUGGGCCUGCACUGACGCUCAUGCACGAAAGCGUGGGGAGCAAACAGGAUUAGAUACCCUGGUAGUCCACGCCCUAAACGAUGUCAACUGGUUGUUGGGGAUUUAUUUUCUCAGUAACGAAGCUAACGCGUGAAGUUGACCGCCUGGGGAGUACGGCCGCAAGGUUAAAACUCAAAGGAAUUGACGGGG